GAUGAACGCUGGCGGCGUGCUUAACACAUGCAAGUCGAACGAAGCACUUUAUUUGAUUUCCUUCGGGACUGAUUAUUUUGUGACUGAGUGGCGGACGGGUAAGUAACGCGUGGGUAACCUGCCUUGUACAGGGGGAUAACAGUUGGAAACGGCUGCUAAUACCGCAUAAGCGCACAGCAUCGCAUGAUGCAGUGUGAAAAACUCCGGUGGUAUAAGAUGGACCCGCGUUGGAUUAGCUAGUUGGUGAGGUAACGGCCCACCAAGGCGACGAUCCAUAGCCGACCUGAGAGGGUGACCGGCCACAUUGGGACUGAGACACGGCCCAAACUCCUACGGGAGGCAGCAGUGGGGAAUAUUGCACAAUGGGCGAAAGCCUGAUGCAGCGACGCCGCGUGAGCGAAGAAGUAUUUCGGUAUGUAAAGCUCUAUCAGCAGGGAAGAUAAUGACGGUACCUGACUAAGAAGCACCGGCUAAAUACGUG
rnacentral:rRNA from 1 species